AUGUCGCUCCCAUGCGACUCGGGGGAACGUAGUCACCGGCCGGCACACCCCCCUCCCCUCCCCUUCCCCUCGCCGCUGCCGGAGGAUGCGGCCAGGCUAAGCCCGCGUUGUGGACGGCGGUGGCGGGGCGUUUCCCGGCGCGGAGACGAGCAUCCAUUGCGGAGGGAGGUCGCGCCCUCGUCGCUCGGCUACCGACGAACUGCUACGCCCCGGUGGCCUUGUCCUUGGAUCCGGUGGGUGGCCCCUCCAGUCCUCCUCUUGGUUCCUGUUGCUGCUUCUGGCGACGGCUCUUCGGGCUCCCAGUGUUCUGUGGCGGCGGCCUCGGCUUUCCGCCUCAGAUCCGUCCGGCUUGGUUGGGAUGGGGUGGCAGCUCUCCGACUCCGACCCCAGCUCUCAUGCAUCGUGCGGCUUGCGUGCACGUCGCUGCCGGGAGCAGAGCUCCUCUGGUGGCUGCCCUGCGGUGGAGGGGUGUUGGGUCUGGCGUGUGGCCAUAUCUGGCUCACCGCGGGUGCUGCUGGCCGGCAUCAAUGGCAGCGAGUUGCAGUGGUGGUCCAUGUACGACAAUGGUGCGGUUGUUGUGUAGGGGAUGUGCGGGCCAGUGGAGGUUCUACUGCUCCGGGCGAAAGUCUAGCCGGUGAUUGCCAGCCGGUGGUGGUGACGCCCGUGGGCAUCGCUAUCAUUCUUGGAGGCGCCGUUGAGAUCAAAGAAUCCUCUUCUCUCAGAUCGAGUUCUUUAGGUGAAAGCCAAGAUCCUUGUGUAGGAUCGGGUGGCGGCGGCGUCUUCAACGUCGCUCUCCCUCUUGGGGGCGCCGUCUUGAAGACUUUGAUCCCUCCUACACUCCCUCGGGGCUGGACGUGCAUGACAUCGUGGUCGGCAGUCGGAGCUACAGCAUUGCGGGGCGACACAGCGGCAACGAUGCCAUGCGAUGGGCAAAUCGGACAUUGUCAGUGCAAGGUGUGCUCCUUUUCUCCUGCGAGGCUUGUCAUCAAGGUCAGAGCUGCCUCAUCCUCGACGCCCGCGGCCGAUUGUUUGGCUUUGGCCAGCAGGGUUCUCGUGUACCAUUCGUUCGGAGGGGUCUUGAUGGGUCAUCCACGUCGAAGUCGUAGUCGCCUGCUCAGGGAGAGGUACCAGGUCGGCCAUGUGCCUUUCCUUGUGGGCGCUACCCGCCCAUACGAGGGGCUUGCGAUCGCCAGCUGCUCAGCCGUUAAUCCAUGUUUCACGUACAUGGUUUCUUCAAUGGUGAAUGUCAAGUGGGUCUCGUUAGACAUGGGUCCAGCUAAUGAGAUUGUUUUUCUUGGGUUUGAUCCCAAUCCCUCGCGUCUUCGAGCCCCCCUUCCCCUCGUCUCCUGUUUCCUCGAGCCCCGCGUCCCCUCCUCCAUGCUCUCCACCCGCCUCCCCCCCUUCGCGUUUCUCCUCCUCCGCUUAAAUUCCACGGCGGCGGCUGGCUCGAGGCGGGGGAGUGGCGGAUGCGGCCUCGGCAGCGGCACGAGAGGAGCGGUGGCGGCAGCGUCCAGCUGUGAAGAGGCGCCGCGCUCGGGCGCGAGAGACGGAGGCGGGAGCGCUGCCCCGGGUCCCAUCUGGGGAGGGUACGAGGCAGGGAAGGACGCCGCCAUCGCAGGUCUUCCUUCCAUCCCUUUCGUUCCUUCUGAUUCAUCCUCUUCCUACCCCCUCCUCCCCUGCCUCCUCACGUCGCCCUCAAAUCAGAGUCAACCAGGACAGCGCGCGGGCAAGCUCAAGCUGGUGAAAAUUCUUGCCUUGGUGAAUUUAUCAAGCAUUUGUAGUGCUCAUAUGUUUGAUCCUCACGUAACUAUGGUUUGCUGGAGAUCUGUUCUAUGCCUGCCGGCGAUUCUGGCAUACACAUCGGACAUGGGCCGGUUCUACUUUAGGAGAGGUUCAAUGAUGGCGCAAGGGCCCCUGAGGGGGACGAAUCAGGAUGGAUCCAAGCUGCCGACGCCUCUUCUUUGCUGCCAUGGACGAGCCCUCGCCCAGCGACCACCUCCAUUCAGCUGGCGGCAGACGGCGAUGGCCAACUCCCAGGUGCAGCCAGUGGGGAGGCGACAAUGGCAAGGGCGGCAGGAGACGCAGCUGAUCAACACUGUCGACUGCUGCCAUACAAGAGGCGUUUAUCACCGUGAUCUGAAGCACUCUCAAGGUGAUUUUGGACUAAGUGCUCUAUCGCAGCACGUCAGAUCUCAAGAUGAUUCUGAUCCUGAGUACUCUUGGAUGUUUAUUAGCUAUCCAAGAAAAUUAGCCUCUGGUUUCAAUGUCUGGCAGGGUCCAGUUGUUGGUAUCUUCAGCUGGUUUGCCGUCUACCCCUCUGUUGGCUCGUCGGUUAUUUGUCUUCCCACCAAGGUUGGCUUUCCCGCCUCAGAGUGUGCUACAACUACACUAUUUGAUAGUUCUACAUGCUUGUUUGGUUACACCAAGGGAACUACAUCAUCUGCGGUUGUGCCUAAAGAUCCUACCCAAACUGGAGGAACCGUUUUUGCUGGAGAUGUUGUUGACCCUGCAUCCAAAACAGAUGUUAGCAUUCAUGUUCAAUUCCACUCUUAUUGUUUUCCCUUUUGUGCAUUCCUCACCCCACGAGCAUCGCCAUGUCAUGAUAGGAAUCUAAGCAAGAUGCUCAGGAUGCUGCUGCUGUAG
rnacentral:rRNA from 1 species